rnacentral:lncRNA from 1 species
UUUUUUUUCUUUUUUCAAAAUAUCUUUAAUUGGGUUUUGGGUUUUCUGCUUUAUUUUAUAUUAGGGAUAAUUUUGUCUUUUCAUUCAAUUCAACAAUUAAAUUUGAUAAAUGGGGCACUGUGCAAUAUAAAGUACAACAUAAGGGGGAAUUUGCUAAUUGUUUUAUCACGAGGACUUUUUUGACAAUUAGAAAUAACACAGGGGGUGUGUGCUAUUAGCUC